AGAGUUUGAUCCUGGCUCAGGAUGAACGCUGGCGGCGUGCUUAACACAUGCAAGUCGAACGGGAAUGUUUCGCUGAUGCGAUUUCGGUCAAAUCUUGAAGCAUUUUAGUGGCGGACGGGUGAGUAACGCGUGGGUAACCUGCCCUGUACAGGGGGACAACAGUUGGAAACGACUGCUAAUACCGCAUAAGCGCACAGCUUCGCAUGAAGCGGUGUGAAAAACUCCGGUGGUACAGGAUGGACCCGCGUCUGAUUAGAUAGUUGGUGAGGUAACGGCCCACCAAGUCAACGAUCAGUAGCCGGCCUGAGAGGGUGAACGGCCACAUUGGGACUGAGACACGGCCCAAACUCCUACGGGAGGCAGCAGUGGGGAAUAUUGCACAAUGGGGGAAACCCUGAUGCAGCGACGCCGCGUGAGUGAAGAAGUAUUUCGGUAUGUAAAGCUCUAUCAGCAGGGAAGAAAACAAUGACGGUACCUGACUAAGAAGCCCCGGCUAACUACGUGCCAGCAGCCGCGGUAAUACGUAGGGGGCAAGCGUUAUCCGGAUUUACUGGGUGUAAAGGGAGCGUAGACGGUAGACCAAGUCUGAAGUGAAAGCCCGGGGCUCAACCCCGGAACUGCUUUGGAAACUGGUAAACUAGAGUGCAGGAGAGGUAAGUGGAAUUCCUAGUGUAGCGGUGAAAUGCGUAGAUAUUAGGAGGAACACCAGUGGCGAAGGCGGCUUACUGGACUGUAACUGACGUUGAGGCUCGAAAGCGUGGGGAGCAAACAGGAUUAGAUACCCUGGUAGUCCACGCCGUAAACGAUGAUUACUAGGUGUCGGGGAGUUAACUCUUCGGUGCCGCAGCA
rnacentral:rRNA from 1 species